rnacentral:tRNA from 1 species
UAUGGGAUGGAGUAGAGGCAUCUCGUUAGGCUCAUAACCUAAAAACCGCAGGUUCGACUCCUGCUCCCAUUG